rnacentral:rRNA from 1 species
CCUACGGGAGGCAGCAGUGGGGAAUAUUGGACAAUGGGGGGAACCCUGAUCCAGCGACGCCGCGUGAGUGAAGAAGGUAUACGUAAUGUAAAGUUCUUUUAACAGGGAAGAAAGAGAAAUUGGACGGUACCUGAAGAAUAAGCUCCGGCUAACUACGUGCCAGCAGCCGCGGUAAUACGUAGGGAGCGAGCGUUAUCCGGAAUUAUUGGGCGUAAAGGGUGCGUAGAUGGCAUAGGAAGUCUUUUGUAAAAAUGCUGGGCUCAACCCAGUAGGGCAAAAGAUACUGCAAAGCUAGAGUAUGCCAGAGUCAAGUGGAACUACCUUUGUAGCGGUCAACUGCGUCCAUCUAUGUAA